GGAUCCCAUCACAACUCCGAAGUUAAUCAUGCUUGUGUGAGAGUAGUACUACGAUGGGUGAUCUCUUGGGAUGUCCUUGUGUUGCAUUCCCUUUUUCAUUAUUUUUUUUGCUGCACGCCACAAACAUGACGCACGUGCGGGGUAAAUAUCACACGUGGUCUCUUAUUUCUGACGUUUGCGUUGAGUUGCAGCUUGCGGAUCGAUAUUGACGCGUGUAUGGGCGGCGUUAUGGUGGGAGAGGCACCGCUUUCUGAAAGCGUUCGACGGCGUGUGAAAACUCGUGGCAACGUGGCGACGGGGAGGGAGGGGUGAAAACCGUGGUAAACGUGGGAACGGUUGUUGAGGUGGAGAGAAAGUACUACGGUGAAGUAUCCAGCGGUGGCAAGGAAUGUACGGUAGAGUUAGUAGUGGAGCUGGGAGGGGCGAGCAUAAGGGGCGAAGGGGUCAGAAACAUGUCGGAUGCGACCAUACCAUCUCUAAAGCACC
rnacentral:rRNA from 1 species